UGCUCGUUGCCUGCAUAUCUCUCACCGGAGUCACCGCAUUCAUUUCCAGAAUGAAUUCCUACAAGGCGUUGCGAUCGGCCAUUUGCGCCGCUCUGAUACUUCACACAAUGAUUGUGUGCUUCGGUGACUCGGAAUUGCAAUGUCUUGAAGAAAGGUGCGGCGACUUCAACAAUUUCGCAUGUUCUGUAAGAGGUUGCAAUUGUGUCUACACGGAUAACGCAUCUAACGGCGAGUGCAUGGAUUUGUCUGAUUACGAAGACUAUGCUUCGAAUUUAACUCUUCAGGCAGCAUAGAUGCCAAACACAACUAAAGAUGUGGAAUUUGCCACGCCGCAGCAUCUUGAUUGAAAUAAAGCUGUGAUUGGGAUGCA